AUCCAGGCUUGGAUUCAUGUGCCAGUAUCCCCAGCAUGUCCGGGACAGGGGGUGGCAGGGCGCCCCGGGGUCCAUGGGCUGGCCUGUGCUCUGCUAUUGUUGGGCUGCAGAAACCUCGGUCCUGCUCCAGCUGCUGGGGACGGAGCUGCUGCCACAUUCCGGGAGGAGCCAGAGGGCUGUCAGCAUGUUGGCAAGAAGCUUUGCAGGGAUCCUUUCCCCCCAGCUGGGGUCAGAGAGGCUGGUGGAGAACCCCCUGGCAAAGCUGGGGGACCUGAGUGACCUAAAGCACAUUUCCCAGUCUCUCCCAAAUCCCUCAAGCAUUCCCUGUGCCCCCAAAACACUCCACCAGCCCCAAAUGCCAUGUGCCACCGGGAACCUGGCACUGAGCCCACGUUAUUCAGUUCAUCCCAUCUCCUCUGGCAACCCUGCAUGUGUUUGGUGUUUACAUCCCAGGAUGCCUGGAUACAGCCGACCACACUCGUGGUCCUUCCCAUCAGGAGCUGACAUCUUCCUCCCGACGCCGCGGCCGCCGCAGCCCAUGGUCGGGAAGCAGACUGGCUACUGCAAUUUCUCCUGUGCCAGACUGUCCAUGUGAACCCAGUGAUGGGAAAGACGUGGCACCAGCAAGCCCAGGAAGUGAAAUGUCCCACGGAAUUGUCCCACAGAAGGAGGGAUGGGGGUGGAAGGCAGGGAAACUCGCCCUGAUUGCCCUGGGUGAAAGCAGCUCCAGGCAGGCAGGAGCUGCCCGUGGGGCAAGGGGAGGGAAGGGAGGGUGAUGGCCCUGUGUUUGCUUUUCCCGUGCGUUCCCAGAAAGGUGGGGAUCUCUUCCUGGCUGGCUCCCAGCUGAAGCAGCCUGGGAAUUGUGCAAACAGCCAUAAAAUCACCCAAUCUGAGGAGGAAACAGCUCUGCCUCCCUGGUGGCUUUUCCUGAGGGAGAGAAUUAUCAGCUCAGCCUUCAGCUCAAGGAAAGCAGCCCAAGGGUCAGGGACAGGGAUUUGGCUUCUUCGAUCCAGAGAGUCAUAAUCCAAAGGCUCUGUCCCAUUCUCUCUGCUGUGCUCCUGCCUCCCCUGCACAUUCCACACCUCCCACUGUUUCCAUAGGCCCACCCAGAAUUCAGGCCUGUGGAGAAGAGCUUCCUAUUUUAUCCUAUUUCACCCAAUCGCAUCCCAUCUCAUUCUAUCCCACCCCAUUCUAUCCUGCCUCACCCCAUCCCACCCCAUCCCAUCUCCUUUCCCAUGACCAUUCCCACCCUGGACCUUCUCUCCCUCACUCUGCUCCUGAGGCAGGAGUUGGGUGCACGGCCAGGUCCAUGUGGACUCAUGCCCAUUACAUCCUAUUCCUGCUCUCAAAGGUACCUGUUCAGUUUUUUUGCUGUCACUUCCCAACCCUUUGGAAACCUUCCCAAGAUGUACUUACAGAAUUACUGUUCCUGCUCUGAAGAGAAAACAGCCAAACCUUGUUGUACCUCCUCCCGUUACCAUCUGAAAGGAGGAUUAUCCUCCCCACAAAGGGCCACAUAUUUGGUUAAUGAUGCUUUCACUGGUUUGAAAGUGAAUUCUAGAAAGUCUCUUUCCCUCCUGUGUCUCCUUCUGGUUCCAGCUGUCCGUGUUCCCACCAGGGACAGGACAAGCCCUGCUGGUCUGAAAACCACUCUGAGAUUGGGGAUUUGGUUUGACUUUGUGCAAGGUUCCCAGUUAUCUCCAUCCCCUGUUGUACAGAGGGUGUUGGGGUGGGCAUGGCAUGGAGGGAGCUGCCACUGCUGAUCCAAAGAGAAAUCCAGGAGAAGACUUUGUCAGGUCCCCAGGUUGGGGUUGGAGGAGUGACCCCAAAAAGGAGAUGUGGUGCCCUUUCUAUUUCAGUGCCAAGCAUCCUGCCCAUUCCAGCAGAGCCGAGAUGAUCCAGCUCCCAGCGAGGCAGGACAGGGGUGGAACAGAUUUCCCCACGGUCAGAAGCAGCUGUGUCACAUUUCUCCUCACAGUCAUCUCCAGGACACAAAAAUUAGUGGAGAAACAGCAACAAAACUGCAGACCUGAAAACCUUCCGGCAGUUCCGAGUUACUGGCGGGAUCUCCCAGCCUGGAUCCUCCAUCCCGCCGGAUCGCGCUGCCGCUGGCACCGCUUGCACGGAGCACGAAGCCUCCAAAGCUUCAUGAUCAACUGUGUUGUUCUUUUUUAGCAGCCACGGUAUUUAUAAAUGGACCUUUCCAAGCCACAGGAGUGUGGUGGUGCCAGAGGUCCACGGUCAGGUGGAGCAAGGGCAGAGUCAGAGGAGGAAGAGGAGAAGGAGGAGGCUCUUGGAUGGUUUCCUCCUGCCCUGAAGGCAAACCUUUCUCUUCAAGAUGGAACACGCCGGAACCUGCAAUAAGCCCUUGAGAUUGCUUUCCCAAAAGAAGCAGAAAAGGGUGAGUGAGGAGACAGAGCUCUUCCCAUGGGGAUAAAUACCCAGUUGAGUAACCCCCAUUUGAGUAACCCUAAUAACCCUCUUCCAUUAACGCUCAGUUCGAGCUGAGUCAUCAGCAGGAGAAUGUUCCUGCAUUUUCAGGAACAGCCUGGGAUUUUAGAGCCCAACUGGAUGAUGGCACUUAGAAAGUAAUCGGUUCCAUAUGCUCAUCCUCCCAACCCCAGGGGGCUGGAAAAGGUCUUGAGAUGGGCACCCCAAAAAGCCCUUCUGCUUUCAGCUGCCAUGGAAAGGCUGAUGGCAAAUCCAAGGAACGUUCUCAUGGAGCAAUUGUGCAAGAGCAGGCUUGUCCAUUAGCUGUCAGAUCUACCCAUGGUUAUAAAGCCUGAGGUGAAAGGGCUGGGAUGGAGCAGCCAGCUGAGGAAAAGGGGGGAUGAUAAACCUCACCAAACACCGCGGAGGAGAAAGGCUGCCCCGAGUAUCAGAUCGGGCAUGAUAAACUCAACCACCAAGGGAACCAACCAAUUACUGGGAGAAAAAGGACAUGAUGUAGAAGGUUGGGGUGGAUUGUCCUGCUGUGGAUGUGCCAAGGUCAAGGAGAAGGAAAAACAAGCCCGACCAAGGCGUGGCGGCAGCGAAGGAGUCACCGGCCUCCCCUACUCCUCACAUUCUUUGAAUAGCUACAAUAAUAACAACAAUAAAACCCAAACUCCACCGAAGACACUGAUGUCAUCUCUGAAAAUAUUUUAGAGACCUGCAUUUUUUAUACUAAUAAAAUAAAGGCAGUGAUUAAUCCAA